CUGCCAAAAAAUGAAUUAAAGAAGCUUCAUGAUUCUCCUAUUGAUAUUUAUGAUCCUCUCUGGUAUGAGAACACCAGCACUCCAUUGAAUGAAGCAUGUUGGAGAGGAUUAAAAGAUGAAGUACAACGAUUGAUUGACAAGACUGGCCUUCAGGAAA